UACGUAGGGUGCGAGCGUUAAUCGGAAUUACUGGGCGUAAAGCGUGCGCAGGCGGUUCGUUAAGUUCGUUGUGAAAGCCCCGGGCUCAACCUGGGAACUGCAAUGGAAACUGGCGGGCUUGAAUGCGGCAGAGGGGGGUGGAAUUCCGCGUGUAGCGGUGAAAUGCGUAGAGAUGUGGAGGAACACCAGUGGCGAAGGCGACUCUUUGGCCUGUAACUGACGCUGAGGCGCGAAAGCGUGGGGAGCAAACAGG
rnacentral:rRNA from 1 species